rnacentral:lncRNA from 11 species
GAAAACUGGAAAUAACUCUACAAGGAAACUGGAAAUAACGCUACAAUAAUUCUACAAGGGCAGUUCUUCAACUACAGGGAACUAAGGCGGCCUAAAACAUAAUUUGAAAUCAAGUGCAACUAAAUCCAGC